AAAUACCAGACAAGGAAGUGGGGAUUUCACAGUUCAUAUUUGUUAGCUUUGAUUUUUAGUUAUUACAGAACUUCUCUGUGUAAUUUGGUGAAGAUGUCUUGCUGUGGUGGAAAGUGUGGGUGUGGAGGAAACUGCAAUGGCUGUGCAGGAUGCAAGGCCUUCCCAGAGAAGGGUGUAGAGGGCUCAACCAUGGCAGCCACUGCUUCAGAUAUGGUGUAUAAUGAGGAAAUGAGUGUGGCAGGGGAGAAUGAAUGCAAGUGUGGAGGCACCUGCACUGCCAAUCCAUGCAACUGCAAAUGAUAUACCAUUAAUAUCAUUUUCUAUUUAAGUGUGUACUAUCUAUCAGCUUUGGUAUGUUAUACCAAGGUUUGAAUAUUAUAUUGUAAGAAAAAGUCAUGCAUGAUGCCACCACACGACUGUUUUAUUAAUAUAAUAUAUAUAUAACGAUAUUUUAAUCCA